CUGUCCGUAGCGUAGUGGUAGCAAGCCGUUGUUGCCUGUCGAGAGGUCGUGGGUUCGAUCCCCCCUCGGCAAA
rnacentral:tRNA from 1 species